rnacentral:rRNA from 1 species
CAGUAGCCACGGUAAAACGAAGGGUGCAAGCGUUACUCGGAAUCACUGGGCGUAAAGCGUGCGUAGGUGGUGGUUUAAGUCCGUUGUGAAAGCCCUGGGCUCAACCUGGGAAUUGCAGUGGAUACUGGGUCACUAGAGUGUGGUAGAGGAUAGUGGAAUUUCCGGUGUAGCAGUGAAAUGCGUAGAGAUCGGAAGGAACAUCUGUGGCGAAGGCGACUAUCUGGGCCAACACUGACACUGAGGCACGAAAGCGUGGGGAGCAAACAGGAUUAGAUACCCGCGUAGUCCCUGUCUCUUAUAC